UAUAAGAAUAGCCCAAAUCUCAUCCAAUUAGCACACAAAUUUCAGUCUAAUUGAUAGAACUAUUAAUUGAGUGUUGGGUACUAGCAUUUCCUAAAGAAGCAAGAGAAGAGUGACUAGUAUUCAAAGAACGACGUUUAGGUUUCUGACCCAUAUGGCUAUUUACCAAGGAAGAAAUACGAUUAACAACCGGUAGCGGGUAACGCUUGCGUUUCAAUUGUUCCACAAUUUCCAUUGCCUUUCGACCGUCAUUUACACUUAGGUAGGCACGAACCAUAUUUUCAUAGGUGCUAGGUUCCUUACCAGACAUACCCUCGCAUUCUAAAAGGUCGAAGUAAUAACGUGCUUUGCUAAUCAUGCCAACCUUAGUAAAUCCCUUUAUAAGGGCAUUUACAAUGUAUGCAUUUAACGAGACAUUGUAACGCUUCAUAUCAGAAACAAUUUGAAUGCCUUCAACAAUGCGGUCAUUUGCAAUAAGAGAUUCAAUUUGGGAUUGGAAUAAGUUCGCAUCUAGUUGAAUUUCCCCGGCAUCAUGUUUGGCAAGAGCAUUCAUGUAGCAACUCGUGGCUGCCUGAACAUCCGAAACAACGUUUCCUAAAAUAUGAAUAUAUGCAGCAUAAUGCAUAGAUAAAAUUGGCACAUCUGUACGCUCCAUAAGUUCAAGAACUGCCUUUACGGAACCUACAUUGACAGGCUUCAAUGUACCAUAAGCAUCCAUCAAUAACUUAUAAGUAUGAGAAGAAGGCUCUAUGUCGGUAGCACAUAGCCUAUUGUAGUAAAAUAGCGCUUUUUCACGAUUAAACAUUGUCUGGACCUCAAAUUGUAUCAUAGUGUUGUAUGGAGCAACGCGAGGUUGAUAGUUAGGCUGAUUUUCCAUUUCAGCAAAUAGCUUCUCAGCAAGACUCUCGUCACCAAUGCGACAAGCAGCAUUAAUUACGGUACCAUAAGUAACGCUGGUAGGAAGUAACCCCGAUUCCUUCAUUUCUUGAAACAAUUUCCAGCA